rnacentral:lncRNA from 1 species
AAUCCAUAUAGCUCUAUUAUCAGGACAAGGCGGCCUUCGUAUGAUUCACAAAACAUAGUGUCUCUUGUCACUGUACCUGAAAAAGUCUCCUGGCAGUGAGUGUUUCAGCUAAAACAUAUUCUAUUAGACACCUACAAAAGAAACCCAAAAAAAGAUGACCCCAUUCAUGGUAAAAUGUGGAGGAAAAGUAAUGGUAGAUCAUCUCACCACUGUUUGGUGUUUUUUUUUUGGAUGUAAAAGCAUUUCUAUACUUUAGUCCUCAUGCUGUUAUCACAAGAAAGCUAUAGUUUUCUGAAUCAGUUAACAUACUUUUAAGCAAAUCAAAACUGAUUCACUAACAUAGUGGUGGUAACUCUCAUGGUUGAACACAGGAAACUAAGAUUUGAAAGAGUGACAAAAGACCUGAAGGUCACAAGAGUCAUAUCGACAUUGGUGGAGGAGAUGAAGGCCAUUCGCAUUGGAACCCAUGAUGAAUCCCACUGCACUGAUGUGAUGGUUCCGGCAGCCGUUGCUGAUCGGAGCCCUGUUCUUCUUCUGAUGGGUGGUGGGAUGGGAGCUGGCAAGAGCACUGUGCUCAAGGAAAUACUGAAGGAGUAAGUUCUUUAAUUCUUUUAACAUCACACUAAAUUAAAACAGACCCAAAAUGUAAUAAGGGAAUGAUAAAGAACAGAGAUUAAAAAGUACAAAAACCAUCACCAAGUAAACCAACUUUAAAGAAGCUUUCAUUUGAUGUUCAGAUUAUAUACAGUAUGCCUGGCACAAAGUAGCAGUCAUACCAUGUGCAUCUUAAAACCAGGGGUACAUAUAUAAAGUAGUAAUAAUUACUAGUUUCUUGUCAUUGAAGCAGUUCAUCCUAGCAUAUUCAUUCUAACAGUAUAAUGAACUAAAACUUGGCGAAAUACCAACUCCAUGACUGUAAUUUCAAUAAAGUGGUAUUAAAAAAUAAAUGAAAAAAGACAUCGGUUAGUUAGAGACCAGAAGCAAAAUGACACUUGGUGGAAAAAAAAAAGGUAAAAUAAAUUAUAAAUUAAAAAAAAUAAAUCACUGCCUGGACAGGCAUCUCCAUUGUUGGGUAGCACUAUUAGACAUAUACCAGUAUAUCAGAAUAGUUGAUUAUUAAGGUAUGGUCUGAGUAGAAGAGUUAAAAACAGCUAAGAUGACAGGUGGGAUGCCCAAAUGUCCCAUGUCCUCCACUCAAACAACCAAGAUCAAAAGGACAGUAAUGGUUCUAGGUCACAUUCAAACUAAACAAGUUAAAAAACUUCAGAUCAACAAUGUAUCUAGUUAGAUAUAUCUGAUCCUGAUAUGACUGGAAAAUACCAUAUUUGUAUCUGCUUUUCAUCAGUUAGAUAUGCAUAGUCUUUUAUCAUGAUACGUUGUUACCCACAUAUCAGAGCCUUCUGGUCUGGCGCUGCAGCAAACACAGUGGUGGUUGAAGCUGAUGCGUUCAAAGAGACGGAUGUCAUUUAUCGAGCUAUCAGCUCCAGAGGUCAUCAUGAUGACAUGCUCCAGACUGCUGAACUGGUAUUCCUCUCUCUACUGUUCUUUGUUUAGAGAUUUUAUUCCUUAACUCUUCUGCUUUCAGUUGUUCUUCUAGAGGAAAACAUAUAUUAAAUAUACAUUAAGAUAGUUAAAGCAUCAAAAUCCCAUUUGCUUUGCUUUGAAACAUUAGAAACUGUUCCUGAAAAAGAUUAUGACAUCAGCAUCAAGAAAAAAAAAACUACAAUUGAUGUAAUAAUAUUUUUCUUAUCUACUCUAUGUCUCGGCCUGUCUGUCUGUAAUCAAUUUAUUUGGUCCCCAUAGAAAAUUCCUAUUUUAUUAGUCUAUUCUUUCGUUAUUUCUCUGUGCCCUCAUUUUCUUGAAUUCAAACCUACAGGAAAAUUUUAUGAUUGCUCUUUGUUUGCUUGAACUGCUCUAACAAGAUACUUAUUAUUGCCAGCAAACUAGAUUCCACAAUGAUUUUUUUACUUAUAUUUGCCUUAAUUAAAAAGUUGACUCAAACUUGAGAGGAUUGACUCCCAAUUAUGAAAUUAUUAGAAAAAAAUAGAUUUACUCUAGUGUCAUUUCAAAGUUGAGUGAUGCUACAUAACUAAUAUCAUAACUCUUAGAUAACAAUGAUGAUUAACAGAAUAAUGAACACUUUUGCAGAAAUAUAAACAAACAUGAUUUUUUUUUCUAACUAGUCCAGGAGCUAAAGACAAACCUUCCGCUUGGAGCUUAUACACCACAUAUCACAUACUCCAUGACUAUCAAAUCUUCCGAAAUAGGGAGGACAGACUUCUGAUUCAGCCUAGAUGUGUAAUUUCCUUCGAGUAUGGAUCUGAUUCUGAGUUCAUUCAAUCUUAGACUAGAUUCAGUUCCAUUAAUCUAUGCCUACAAUCUAGUUAAACAUGGGUUCUCUGAAAUCCAUAUCAGAUCAGAUAUCAUCAACAGAGUUUAGAGAAUAUAGAUCAAUAUCUCCAACAUCAAUCAGUAAAUAAUCUGAUGUCAUCCUUGUCCUCCUCAUGGUCUAAGCUUCCAGAAU